GACGAACGCUGGCGGCGUGCUUAACACAUGCAAGUCGAACGGAAAGGCCCUGCUAUUGUGGUUUGCUCGAGUGGCGAACGGGUAAGUAACAAGUAAGUAACCUUCCCUGGACUAUAGCAUAACGUCACGGAAGUUGGGAUAAUACCGGAUAGGAGCUACUACUGCAUGGUGGGGGGUGGAAAGUUUCGGCGGUUGGGGAUGAGCUCGCGGCGUAUUAGCUUGUUGGUGGGGUGGUGGCUUACCAAGGCGUUGAUGGGUAGAAGGCCUGAGAGGGUGACCGGCAACAUUGGGACUGAGAUACGGCCCAGACUCCUACGGGAGGCAGCAGUGGGGAAUAUUGCACAAUGGGCGGAAGCCUGAUGCAGCAACGCCGCGUGCGGGAUGAAGGCCUUCGGGUUGUAAACCGCUUCCGCCUGUGACGAAGCGUGAGUGACGGUAAUGGGUAAAGAAGCGCCGGCUAACUACGUG
rnacentral:rRNA from 1 species